GUUAAGCAUCGUUAUCAAAACACUCCUUUCAUUCAGUUGUUAUGUUUCCACCAGCAGGUGGCGUAGUGGUUAGACCUGUCACAUAGCAUCCAAAAAACUCUGCUCCAAUCCCUACUCCCGAUGUAGAGCCCUUGAUCAAGGUACUAACCUUGAAUUAAAUCAGUAAAAAUGUCUCUGCUUUGCAAAUGGAUUAAUUAGUGAAUGCAGCUAUAGAACACACACACACACACACACACACACACACACACACACACACAUUUUCUGAACCACUUGUGCCAUACAGGGUUGAAGGGAACUGGAGCCUAAUCCAGCAACUCAGGGCCCAAGGCUGUAGGGGGAGGGGACACACCCAGGACAGGACACCAGUCUGUCGCAAAGCACCCCAAAGCGGGACUCGAACCCCAGACCCACCGGAGAGCAGGACCCACUCCAACCCACUGCACCACCAAGCCCCCCAGCUAGAGAAUAUUGCCAGACCUACUCUUCACAGCUGCUCGUCUGUGCCAUGGAGAUGUCCCACCAGAAGUACUGCCGAAAGCCUUCAGCUGAUCCAGAGUGAUCCUCAUCAUCAGGUUCAGCACUCUAGUUAUGGCCAAAAAGACGGUCAAAAAAUCUGCACCUGAUACCUACAGGACCUGAUCACUCCCUACGCCUCAGUAAAAGCAUUGAGUUCCUCCAUCUCUGGCUGCUUAGCAGCCUCAUGUAUGAAGGGUCCAAAAUCAACCUCAGCUUUGACCUAUAUGUGGUGGCCUAAGUUCCCUGUGUCCCUCAGAGCUGCUGAAUCCCUCCCAUAUUCAAGAAGGAUCUCAAACCAUCUUUUUGAGAGCCAUUUCUCUCCGGAUCUCCUGACAGCUCCAUAAAUGAGUCCAACACCAUCUGCUAUGAUUAUCUAUGUAUUUGCUGUUUGAGUGUCACUUCUAUAGGAGCUAGUGGAGGGAUGGGAACCAGCAACACGGUGGCAUCACACGCACAAGCUGUGUCCAUAAUCGGGUGUCUAAAGCUCUUUGCUGAUGAUACGCUUAUUACUCUGCUUUGAACGUCACUUUGGAGACAGUGCCAGGCAAAAAAGUAGACAUACACCAGUGUACCAUGUUGUGUGUGUCACGGACUCUCUGUUAUUCUGGUGGGACAGCUCUGCUGUUCUGUUUCUGUUCAGAUGGAUGCUGCUAGAGCACAUUUUUGGCAGCACAGACGUUUCCCUUUUCAAAAGGCGUACAUCUUAAAAUCUGUAUUUGUCUUCCUUAAGUGUACAUACUGUAGAUACUGUGUUUUACACUUG
rnacentral:lncRNA from 1 species